rnacentral:rRNA from 1 species
UUGCCCAUUUGAGGGGGAUACCAGUUGGAAACGACUGUUAAUACCGCAUAAUAUCUGUGGAUUAAAGGUGGCUUUCGGGCUGUCGCAGAUGGAUGAGCCUGCGUUGGAUUAGCUAGUUGGUGGGGUAAGGGCCCACCAAGGCUACGAUCCAUAGCUGAUUUGAGAGGAUGAUCAGCCACAUUGGGACUGAGACACGGCCCAAACUCCUACGGGAGGCAGCAGUGGGGAAUAUUGGACAAUGGGGGCAACCCUGAUCCAGCAAUGCCAUGUGUGUGAAGAAGGCCCUAGGGUUGUAAAGCACUUUAGUUGGGGAGGAAAGCCUCAAGGUUAAUAGCCUUGGGGAGGACGUUACCCAAAGAAUAAGCACCGGCUAACUCCGUGCCAGCAGCCGCGGUAAUACGGGGGGUGCAAGCGUUAAUCGGAAUUACUGGGCGUAAAGGGUCUGUAGGUGGUUUGUUAAGUCAGAUGUGAAAGCCCAGGGCUCAACCUUGGAACUGCAUUUGAUACUGGCAAACUAGAGUACGGUAGAGGAAUGGGGAAUUUCUGGUGUAGCGGUGAAAUGCGUAGAGAUCAGAAGGAACACCAAUGGCGAAGGCAACAUUCUGGACCGAUACUGACACUGAGGGACGAAAGCGUGGGGAUCAAACAGGAUUAGAUACCCUGGUAGUCCACGCUAUAAACGAUGAGUACUAGCUGUUGGAGUCGGUGUAAAGGCUCUAGUGGCGCAGCUAACGCGAUAAGUACUCCGCCCUGGGGACUACGGCCGCAAGGCUAAAACUCAAAGGAAUUGACGGGGACCCGCACAAGCGGUGGAGCAUGUGGUUUAAUUCGAUGCAACGCGAAGAACCUUAUCUGGUCUUGACAUCCUGCGAACUUUCUAGAGAUAGAUUGGUGCCUUCGGGAACGCAGUGACAGGUGCUGCACGGCUGUCGUCAGCUCGUGUUGUGAAAUGUUGGGUUAAGUCCCGCAACGAGCGCAACCCCUAUUGAUAGUUACCAUCAUUAGGUUGGGUACUCUAUUGAGACUGCCGCUGACAAGGCGGAGGAAGGUGGGGACGACGUCAAGUCAUCAUGGCCCUUACGACCAGGGCUACACACGUGCUACAAUGGGUAUUACAGAGGGCUGCGAAGGUGCGAGCUGGAGCGA